AGGCACCCCUCUGGCCUUCCCCUUCUAUAUUUAGUGCGCUGUGGUGACAGCUGGUCAUCUGAUGACUCAUCAGUCACUGUGGGCGUCUCCUGAUUGGAACCCUGAACAUUUAUUCACAGGGCAUUUUUGGCAGCCUCCGAGCUCCUCCUAGUAAGUGCGGGCUCUUGGAGGCUGUCUGAAAACACACACACACACACACACACACACACAGGAAGAUUGGGGAGUUCGAUUAACCAGCGGGCCCCCAGCUGAAGACCUCUGGGUGCUGGGCAAAUCCAGCAGGGCUUUGGGGAACUGGUUCCCCAUGGGCCUGGGAAUGCAGAGGCAUCAUCCCCUACAAUGAGGCUUUAAACGGAGCUUUCGCUCUCUCCUGGGUCAACGUGCUAGGUAGCCAGCUGGCCCUAGAUGCCUCCUGGCAGCGGGGCCCAGAGAUCCCCACGGGAGAGCCUGCAGCCCCACCUCCGGGCGGGGGCUAAACGUUGGCUGCCGAGCCAGCGACAGUUGGGUUCCAUCUAGGCUGCUCUGCUCGCUCGCCCUGCCACCCGGGCUAGCUGCGUCCUCAUACCGUGGAGAGGAGACCAAGAAGGACCUGGGAGGUGCCAUCUCCGAGGCAGAAGGACGGGAAAGCAACUCCCUGCAGGCCCUGGGACAGAGGCAGUGGCCCUGGCUCCCUCGCAGGCCGGGAGUAAGGAGAUCUUGGCCAAGCUGGCGCCACUGGCUGGCACUCCAGCUCCCUCGUCUGACUCCAGGGCGUAGCUUGGGACCCAGUGGUGCUCCUGUGUGUCCAGGCAUACUUACCUCUGCGAGUCUGGACUUGGGAAAUGAGUGUGAUUUUAUGCUGCAAAUGUUUCUGUUCCUCUUUCAAAAAUUUUGAAAUGUCUACCUGUCUUGACUCUGCUGAAAUGAAAACAAAAGAAAGGACUCUGUCCUUCGUGGGACCGGUCAUAAAGAAUGUUUUUCCUGGGGGUGGCCCAUAGCUUCAAGAUGCAAACUGCAGGAGGUGGGAUGUUCCGGGAGGGAAGUUUGGGGGUCUGGCCUCCCCUGGUCUGCCUAGAGCUUGUCCUUCCUGGAAGCUUGCUUGUGAUCACGCCUCGAAGUUUGGGGUCCUAAGGGCCCCAUUGAGCAUAAGGCCCAGCACCCCCCAGAAACUGGUAAUGGAGGUCAAAUCAGCACCAAGGGGCUGAGAAGGUGGCUGGACCUGGAACCCUCAGAGAAGUCGCCUUCCCCUUGGGCUUUUUGCGUCGCUCACCCCUGAAACUCUCGUGCCAGGCUCAUAGCUUCGUGAUUCUCUGCUGCAUCCUGAGUUGGCCUUCGUAGAUCGCAAAUACCUUGCCUUCCCAAUGGCUGAGUAGCUCAGCUAACUCAAGGCCUGUCAGGGCUUCUCUAUUCAGCUGUUCAGUGAAGAUCUAGUGAGCUCUGUGCCAGGUACAUCUGUAGUCACUCAUGCAGCUCUGAGCAAAGCAGAUGAUCCCCUGCCCUCUCAGAGCUUGCAUUUUAGUAGAUAUUGUAAAGGCGGGUGAAGGGAAAGUAUCAAGAAAAACCUGAACCUGGAGUAUUUGGUGUACAAUCUUCAGCUUGAAGUCCAUCCGACAGUGAUUUCCUGGCUGGCUAGCAUCUCUUCUCCCUAAGCAGAUGCCAACUUCAAGUCUUGCCGCUGCUGGGGUAAGAAUGUUUCAGCCCUAAGAUAUCUAGGAGCGAUAGAGCUAGAUCUAAUGUCCCUGUCUGGGUCAACUAAGGUCCACAUUCUGAAUAUCAGAAAAGCCACUUCCCAGUUCUAGCCAUUUCUUUCCUGAGCCACUGACAGAACACGUGAUGCUAUCUCCAGGGGAUCCCUGAUCCCCUACCCCUGUCCCACAACCCCCUGUGCCCUUGACCUGACUACAGGAUAAUGUUGUCAGAGACCUGCGUGGCCCACCAGAGACCACACACUACAGCAGCAGACAUAGCAUGCUUCAUUCCCAGGAGUUUCCUUAUGAAUCUCAAAAUAAUAGUUUUUUUUUGUGGGGGGUGGGGAGGAGAAACAUUUCCCCAGGGUAAAGUUCUAGAGGAGUAUUGCAGUUAAAGAGGCCUUUAGAAACAGCACCAAACAAAAGAGCAUGUUAACACACAUAUUCUUGGGGUGCUGGGUGGUUCAGUCAGGCGUCUGCCUUCAGCUCGGGUGGUGAUCUCGGCGUCCUGGGAUUGAGCUUUGCAUUGAGGGGAGUCUCUGCUCAGUGGGGAGUCUGCUUCUCCCUCUGCCUCUCCCUCUACCCCUUGUUUGUGCUCUCUCUCUCAAAUAAGUGAAUAAAUAAGAUCUUUUUAAAAAAAGACA
rnacentral:lncRNA from 12 species